rnacentral:rRNA from 1 species
AUCUAUGUCCAUACCACCCUGAAAAACUCCCAAUCUUGUCUGAUCUCAGAAGCUAAGCAGGGUUAAGUUAAGCCUGGUUAGUACUUGGAUA